rnacentral:rRNA from 1 species
UAGGGAAUCUUCCGCAAUGGGCGAAAGCCUGACGGAGCAACGCCGCGUGAGUGAUGAAGGUCUUCGGAUCGUAAAACUCUGUUAUUAGGGAAGAACAAAUGUGUAAGUAACUAUGCACGUCUUGACGGUACCUAAUCAGAAAGCCACGGCUAACUACGUGCCAGCAGCCGCGGUAAUACGUAGGUGGCAAGCGUUAUCCGGAAUUAUUGGGCGUAAAGCGCGCGUAGGCGGUUUUUUAAGUCUGAUGUGAAAGCCCACGGCUCAACCGUGGAUGGUCAUUGGAAACUGGAAAACUUGAGUGCAGAAGAGGAAAGUGGAAUUCCAUGUGUAGCGGUGAAAUGCGCAGAGAUAUGGAGGAACACCAGUGGCGAAGGCGACUUUCUGGUCUGUAACUGACGCUGAUGUGCGAAAGCGUGGGAAUCAAACAGG